rnacentral:rRNA from 1 species
UGGGGAAUUUUGGACAAUGGGCGAAAGCCUGAUCCAGCAAUGCCGCGUGUGUGAAGAAGGCCUUCGGGUUGUAAAGCACUUUUGUCCGGAAAGAAAUCCUCUGGGUUAAUACCUCGGGGGGAGUGACGGUACCGGAAGAAUAAGCACCGGCUAACUACGUGCCAGCAGCCGCGGUAAUACGUAGGGUGCAAGCGUUAAUCGGAAUUACUGGGCGUAAAGUGUGCGCAGGCGGUUUUGUAAGACGGAUGUGAAAUCCCCGGGGCUUAACCUGGGAACUGCAUUCGUGACUGCAAGGCUAGAGUAUGGCAGAGGGGGGUAGAAUUCCACGUGUAGCAGUGAAAUGCGUAGAGAUGUGGAGGAAUACCGAUGGCGAAGGCAGCCCCCUGGGCCAAUACUGACGCUCAUGCACGAAAGCGUGGGGAGCAAACAGGAUUAGAUACCCUGGUAGUCCACGCCCUAAACGAUGUCAACUAGUUGUUGGGGAUUCAUUUCCUUAGUAACGUAGCUAACGCGUGAAGUUGACCGCCUGGGGAGUACGGUCGCAAGAUUAAAACUCAAAUGAAUUGACGGGGU